rnacentral:rRNA from 1 species
UUCCGGUUGAUCCCGCCGGAGGACAUUGCUAUUGGGAUUCGAUUUAGCCAUGCUAGUCGAGCGAGUUCAGACUCGCGGCAGAUAGCUCAGUAACACGUGGCCAAGCUACCCUUCAGUCGGCGAUACCCUCGGGAAACUGAGGCUAACAGCCGAUAGGAGACACCAGUUGGAAUACGGUGUUUCUGAAAGGUGACGCUGAAGGAUGCGGCUGCGGCCGAUUAGGUAGACGGUGGGGUAACGGCCCACCGUGCCAGUAAUCGGUACGGGUGAUGAGAGUCAGAGCCCGGAGACGGUAUCUGAGACAAGAUACCGGGCCCUACGGGGCGCAGCAGGCGCGAAACCUUUACACUGCACGGAAGUGCGAUAGGGGAAUCCCACGUGCGAGGGCAUAUUAGCCCUCGCUUUUCUUGACUGUAAGGCGGUCAAGGAACAAGAGCUGGGCAAGACCGGUGCCAGCCGCCGCGGUAAUACCGGCAGCUCAAGUGAUGUCCCAUAUUAUUGGGCCUAAAGCGUCCGUAGCUGGCCGGGCAAGUCCAUCGGGAAAUCCACCUGCUCAACAGGUGGGCGACCGGUGGAAACUGCCUGGCUUGGGAUCGGAAGGCUCAGAGAGUACGUCCGGGGUAGGAGUGAAAUCCCGUAAUCCCGGACGGACUACCGAUGGCGAAAGCACUCUGAGAAGACGACUCCGACAGUGAGGGACGAAAGCUCGGGUCUCAAACCGGAUUAGAUACCCGGGUAGUCCGAGCCGUAAACGAUGCUCGUUAGGUGUGGCACCCACUACGAGUGGGUGCUGUGCCGCAGGGAAGCCGCUAAACGAGCCGCCUGGGAAGUACGUCCGCAAGGAUGAAACUUAAAGGAAUUGGCGGGGGAGCACAAUCGAAUUCC